UGAUGGUGAUGCGGGAAAUCACGGAGCAUAGACUUGAAUCUUUCCCAAGCUUGGUACAGAUUCUCACUAUUUCUUUAUCUGAAACUUAAAAUUUCACUCCUCAAUCA